rnacentral:rRNA from 1 species
UACGGAGGGGGCUAGCGUAAUUCGGAAUUACUGGGCGUAAAGCGCACGUAGGCGGAUUAGAAAGUCAGAGGUGAAAUCCAGGGCUCAACCUUGGAACUGCCUUUGAAACUCCUAGUCUUGAGGUCGAGAGUGGUGAGUGGAAUUCCGAGUGUAGAGGUGAAAUUCGUAGAUAUUCGGAGGAACACCAGUGGCGAAGGCGGCUCACUGGCUCGAUACUGACGCUGAGGUGCGAAAGCGUGGGGAGCAAACAGG